AGUCGCCUCGACCAUCUUACUGAGGGAAAUGUGAAGUCUGCAAACACAUUGGGUGAGGUUAUCGUCGAGGAAUUGUAAUAUAAAAUAUAUAAUAUACGGUGAUUGUGGAGGUCUGAGAGUAUAAAUCUUCCCUUUCCUCUCUAACUCCUCAGCCGUAGCCGCUAGAAUCGCCUGGAUCAUCUUGCUGAGGGAAAUGUGAACUCUGUAAACACACUGGGUGAGGUUGUUGUCAAGGAAUUGUAAUAUAAUAAAACUAUUGUAUACACGGUGAAUGUGGAUAUCUGAGAGGAUAAAUCUUCCCUUUCCUCUCUAACUCCUCAGCCGUAGCCGCUAGAAUCGCCUGGAUCAUCUUACUGAGGGAAAUGUGAAGUCUGCAAACACACUGGCUCCGAAGCCGAAGCCGCUAGCAACGAGUGGAUCAUCUUGCUGAGGGAAAUGUGAAGUCUGCAAACACACUCGCCGAAGCCGCUAGAAUCGCCUGGAUCAUCUUGCUGAGGGAAAUGCGAAGUCUGCAAACACACUGGCUGAGGUUGUCGUCAAGGAAAUUAAACAUAACACCCACGUGGGAUCACUCCAUACCGGUUCGGGACAGCCAACAUGCCUCCAUGACUAGGCCUCGGCAAGGUGGCAGCCAUCUCAAGCCAGAGGACGAGAGGACUCUAGCCGCCACGCAUAUAAAGGAUUUAUAGUGAAAAACUUCGUUUUUACGGGUUAUACUUGUUCGUGGUCAAAUCUUGUCAUCUAAAAGUUAGUCGACUUCCCGUUGCCCAAUCAAUUCCACAUUUGGCACACGUGCUCAGAUCAGGUGACGAUGCGUGCCCGUAUCAAAAUCGGCAUCAGUUCAUCAAUGAAUUGCCUCCUUUCAAGCAAUUUCAAUAUUAGUAUGGACGGCUUAUUAAUUAUAUAUUUUUGCGCGGGGUCGAAAACGCCCCGGUCCCUAAACUGGGGAAUCAUCUCGCACAAAAAGCAGGCACCACGUGUCUCAGGCGCCAUUGACGUACUUCUCGACCGUCAGUUAAACAAAGUUGUUAAUAAAACCGUUUUUUUACUUUUUUAAAGGAGUUUAUUUAUUCCUGUUCACAUACCUGUCAACCCCUUAUCAGUCCCCUAACGUACAGUGAGGGAAAAAAGUAUUUGAUCCCCUGCUGAUUUCGUACGUUUGCCCACUGACAGAAAUGAUCAGUCUAUAAUUUUAAUGGUGGGUUUAUUUGAACAGUGAGAGACAGAAUAACAACCACAAAAUCCAUAAAAACGCAUGUCAAAAAUUUAUAAAUGGAUUUGCAUUUUAAUGAGGGAAAUAAGUAUUUGACCCCUCUGCAAAACAUGACUUAGUACUUGGUGGCAAAACCCUUGUUGGCAAUCACAGAGGUCAGACGUUUCUUGUAGUUGGCCACCAGGUUUGCACACAUCUCAGGAGGGAUUUUGUCCCACCACUCCUCUUUGCAGAUCUUCUCCAAGUCAUUAAGGUUUCGAGGCUGACGUUUGGCAACUCGAACCUUCAGCUCCCUCCACAGAUUGUCGAUGGGAUUAAGGUCUGGAGACUGGCUUUUAUACAGGUAACAAGCUGAGAUGAGGAGCACUCCCUUUAAGAGUGUGCUCUUAAUCUCAGCUCGUUACCUGUAUAAAAGACACCUGGGAGCCAGAAAUCUUUCUGAUUGAGAGGGGGUCAAAUACUUAUUUCCCUCAUUAAAAUGCAAAUCAAUUUAUAACAUUUUUGACAUGCGUUUUUCAGGAUUUUGUUGUUGUUAUGCUGUCUCUCAUUGUUCAAAUAAACCUACCAUUAAAAUUAUAGACUGAUCAUUUCUUUGUCAGUGGGCAAACGUACAAAAUCAGCAAGGGAUCAAAUACUUUUUUCCCUCUAUAUUACGGACCAAUGCAGACCUUAUUGGUCACACCGUGCCCCUCAUACAUGUUCAACGUUCACCCUACAAAGUCCCAUCGCAAGGAGAGAAACACAAAAAAAUAGACACUCACCAAUACUACACUCACCACUAGUAUACUCACCACAACACUCACUACUAGUUCACUCACCACUACUCACCACAACACUCACUACUAGUUUCACUCACCACUACACUCACUACUAGUACACUCACCACUACUACACUCACCACUACACUCACUACAACUACACUCACCACUACACUCAUCACUACCACACUCACCACUACUACACUCACCACAACACUCACUACUAGUUCACUCACCAAUACUACACUCAGCACUACUACACUCACCACAACACUCACCACUAGUACACUCUCCACUACACUCACCAAUACUACACUCACCACUACUACACUCACCACUACACUCACCACUAGUACACUCAUCACAACACUCACUACUAGUACACUCACCACUACACUCACCAAUACUACAAUCACCACUACUACACUCACCACUACACUCACCACUACUACACUCACCACAACACUCACUACUAGUACACUCACCACUACACUCAUCAAUACUACACUCACCAUUAUUACACUCACCACAACACUCACUACAAGUACACUCACCACUACACUCGCCAAUACUACAAUCACAAGGAGAGAAACUCAAACAAAUAGACAAAAAAAUAAUGCCCGUAUUUUGAAACGGCUGUACGCCGGUAUGGACAUGAAAACUGAUUUCCCGAGUACAGGAAUACGGGGUAAAGCAUACGGGUUGACGGCUAAGCAUUAAGGGCAUGAGAUGUGUUGAAAUAUUUUUUAAAAUAAAAAUUUGUCCGGAGCAAUUGAGUAAAAAAAUAAAACCGCCCUUCAAAAAAAAAUGUGUAAGCGUGCUUAACGAAAAACGCCGAUCUAUAUAUAAAACACAAAAUUUCACUUUUAUAAAUUACCAGUUCAUGAAGGUUGUCUUCGCCAGGCAGAAAAAGUUGUCAAUAAAUAUAAUAAUGAACCUGAUGUGAUUUUUUGUUACAAAUUUAUUUUCUAUAUACAAUCAAGACGCCAACAACUUCUCCAAACAUUUGUAAAUUUCUGCAAAAACGCACAAAAAUUGUUGACUUGAUUCAACUUCUUAUACAUGAUUUGGAGCUUUCGUGACUGCAGGAAUUACUUUUACUGGUAGGAACGAAGUGAACCAGCCUACAAUAGAUUAUAUCGUCCGUCCGUCCGAUGUCCGAUUAGGUGUAGCAACAUCGCCCCCUACUGCAAACACUUGGCAGGACCCUACAAAAACCUUUACACUCAGUGAGGCUUUCCUGGCUAAACAAGUGUAAUAAUACAUUAUGUUUAUAUUCUUUGGUUAUUCGUUCCUACCAGCCCACCCCGCAGGGACC